rnacentral:rRNA from 1 species
ACGGCUCAGUAACACGUAGUCAACAUGCCCAGGGGACGUGGAUAACCUCGGGAAACUGAGGAUAAACCACGAUAAGUCACUACUUCUGGAAUGGGUAAUGACUCAAAUCUACAUGGCCCCUGGAUUGGACUGCGGCCGAUCAGGCUGUUGGUGAGGUAAUGGCCCACCAAACCUGUAACCGGUACGGGCUCUGAGAGGAGGAGCCCGGAGAUGGGCACUGAGACAAGGGCCCAGGCCCUAUGGGGCGCAGCAGGCGCGAAACCUCUGCAAUAGGCGAAAGCCUGACAGGGUUACUCUGAGUGAUUUCCGUUAAGGAGAUCUUUUGGCACCUCUAAAAAUGGUGCAGAAUAAGGGGUGGGCAAGUCUGGUGUCAGCCGCCGCGGUAAUACCAGCACCCCGAGUGGUCGGGACGUUUAUUGGGCCUAAAGCAUCCGUAGCCGGUUCUACAAGUCUUCCGUUAAAUCCACCUGCUUAACAGAUGGGCUGCGGAAGAUACUAUAGAGCUAGGAGGCGGGGGAGGCAAGCGGUACUCGAUGGGUAGGGGUAAAAUCCGUUGAUCCAUUGAAGACCACCAGUGGCGAAGGCGGCUUGCCAGAACGCGCUCGACGGUGAGGGAUGAAAGCUGGGGGAGCAAACCGGAUUAGAUACCCGGGUAGUCCCAGCUGUAAACGAUGCAGACUCGGUGAUGAGUUGGCUUUAUGCCAACUCAGUGCCGCAGGGAAGCCGUUAAGUUUGCCGCCUGGGGAGUACGGUCGCAAGACUGAAACUUAAAGGAAUUGGCGGGGGAGCAC